GUCUCCAUGUUGUUCUCCAUGUUGAUCUCCAUGUAGUUCUCCAUGUAGUUCUCCAUGUUGUUCUCAAUGUUGAUCUCAAUGUUGUUCUACAUGUUGUUCUCCAUGUUGGUCUCCAUGUUGGUCUCUGUGUUGUUCUCCAUGUUGUUCUCAAUGUUGAUCUCAAUGUUGUUCUACAUGUUGGUCUUCAUGUUGUUCUCCAUGUAGUUCUCCAUGUUGGUCUUCAUGUUGGUCUUCAUGUUGGUCUCCAUGUUGUUCUCCAUGUACUUCUCCAUGUUGGUCUCCAUGUUGGUCUCCAUGUUGUUCUCCAUGUACUUCUCCAUGUUGGUCUCCAUGUUGGUCUCCAUGUUGGUCUCCAUGUAGUUCUCCAUGUUGGUCUCCAUUUUGGUCUCCAUGUUGGUCUCCAUGUAGUUCUCCGUGUUGUUCUCCAUGUUGAUCUCAAUGUUGUUCUACAAGUUGUUCUCCAUGUUGGUCUUCAUGUUGGUCUCAAUGUUGUUCUCCAUGUUGUUCUCCAUGUUGGUCUUCAUGUUGGUCUUCAUGUUGUUCUCCAUGUUGAUCUCAAUGUUGUUCUACAUGUUGGUCUCCAUGUAGGUCUCCAUGUAGGUCUCCAUGUUGAUCUCCAUGUUGUUCUCCAUGUUGUUCUCCAUGUAGGUCUCCAUGUUGGUCUCCAUGUUGUUCUCCAUGUUGGUCUCCAUGUUGGUCUCCGUGUAGUUCUCCGUGUUGGUCUCCGUGUUGGUCUCCGUGUUGGUCUCCAUGUAGGUCUCCGUGUUGUUCUCCAUGUUGGUCUC
ensembl:lncRNA